UACGUAGGGGGCAAGCGUUGUCCGGAAUCAUUGGGCGUAAAGCGCGCGUAGGCGGCCAGAUUAGUCCGGUGUGAAAGUCAGAGGCUCAACCUUUGAAUGCCGCUGGAAACUGUCUGGCUUGAGUCCGGAAGGGGCGAGUGGAAUUCCUGGUGUAGCGGUGAAAUGCGCAGAUAUCAGGAGGAACACCAAUGGCGAAGGCAGCUCGCUGGAACGGUACUGACGCUGAGGCGACGAAAGCGUGGGGAGCAAACAGG
rnacentral:rRNA from 1 species